UCAUUUUCCACCAUUCUCCCGUCCCUUGCUCCACACCGAUUCUAAACUUCGUUCUCCCGUCCCUUGCUCCACACCGAAACUUCACUAUUUCUUCCUUUAAUUCCUUCAUUUCUUUUUCAUCACCAAAGCACUCUCCAUUAUUCUCUUAUAUUUUUUUAGCUUUUGCACCUACCCCUCUUUCGGAACACCCUUUAUCAAGUUCACUGAAGAAGGUCUUCGAUUCCAGGGUCCAAAGUGGGGAGAUUCAACCGACCCAGUUCAGAUUUCGGGCUUCUUUCAGGACCUUGGAGGUGGUUUGAUGAAUCUAUGCUUGAUUGUUGUGAGCCUUUGGAAAAAGUUAAAGAGAAAGGAAUAUCAUUUGGCAAGCUUGUGUGUUUGGCUCAUUGUGCUGGAGCAAAAGAUGAAGCGUUCCACACAAAUCAAAGCUCCUUGGAUGACUUCCGUAAAUUUGUUGUGAGAUGUUCCACUUCUGAUGAGUGUCAUAUAAUUUCAUCAUAUUACAGGUCAAUUUUUAAACAUACGGGCACUGGUCAUUUUUCUCCUCUUGGUGAUUAUCAUGCUGGAAGGGACAUGGACCUGAUUUUAGAUGUUGCUCGUUUUAAGUAUCCUCCUCAUUGGGUUCCUCUGAAACUUCUUUGUCAGUAUCCUCCUCAGUGGGUUCCUCUGAAACUUCGUUGUCAGUAUCCUCCUCAUUGGGUUCCUCUGAAACUUCUUUGUGGUGUGGCUGUGGGUUGACUCUUGAAUGUUAAGAGUUCAUAUAACCAGUUUUAUUGUUAAGAUGCAUCUAAUACCAAUUUGGCAACAAAUAUUAUCACCAAAACUACACAAGGCCUCUUCCUCUCAUCAACAAACUAGUAUUUGGUUGACCUUUUUAUUUGUGUAUUUUUGUUAUGCUCUAUCAAAGUUUAGUCAGGUGUAGUUUCUUGAUUUUUGGUUUAAUACAUGUGUUAGCAACAUGUUUACAGUUUUAUUUGGUACAAGUGCGUCUCUUCUUGAUGGUAUAGUUUCUUGAUGUA